rnacentral:rRNA from 1 species
GAGCGCCGUAGCAAUACGGAGCGGCAGACGGGAGAGUAACACGUGGGAACGUGCCCUUUGGUCCGGAACAACCCAGGGAAACUUGGGCUAAUACCGGAUAAGUCCGUAAGGAGAAAGAUCUAUCGCCAAAGGAUCGGCCCGCGUCUGAUUAGCUAGUUGGUGAGGUAACGGCUCACCAAGGCGACGAUCAGUAGCUGGUCUGAGAGGAUGAUCAGCCUCACUGGGACUGAGACACGGCCCAGACUCCUACGGGAGGCAGCAGUGGGGAAUAUUGGACAAUGGGCGCAAGCCUGAUCCAGCCAUGCCGCGUGGAUGAUGAAGGCCCUAGGGUUGUAAAGUCCUUUCGGCGGGGAAGAUAAUGACGGUACCCGCAGAAGAAGCCCCGGCUAACUUCGUGCCAGCAGCCGCGGUAAUACGAAGGGGGCUAGCGUUGCUCGGAAUCACUGGGCGUAAAGCGCACGUAGGCGGCUUUCUAAGUCAGAGGUGAAAUCCUGGAGCUCAACUCCAGAACUGCCUUUGAUACUGGAGAGCUUGAGUCCGGGAGAGGUGAGUGGAACUGCGAGUGUAGAGGUGAAAUUCGUAGAUAUUCGCAAGAACACCAGUGGCGAAGGCGGCUCACUGGCCCGGUACUGACGCUGAGGUGCGAAAGCGUGGGGA